rnacentral:rRNA from 1 species
CCGGGGUCGGACCGGACCGGCGACGACGGUAGGUAACGCGUAUGCAACUUACCUAUCAGAGGGGAUAACCCGGCGAAAGUCGGACUAAUACCGCAUGAAGCAGGGGCCCCGCAUGGGGAUAUUUGCUAAAGAUUCAUCGCUGAUAGAUAGGCAUGCGUUCCAUUAGGCAGUUGGCGGGGUAACGGCCCACCAAACCGACGAUGGAUAGGGGUUCUGAGAGGAAGGUCCCCCACAUUGGUACUGAGACACGGACCAAACUCCUACGGGAGGCAGCAG